rnacentral:rRNA from 1 species
GAUGAACGCUGGCGGCGUGCCUAAUACAUGCAAGUCGAGCGAACAGAUGAGGAGCUUGCUCCUCUGACGUUAGCGGCGGACGGGUGAGUAACACGUGGAUAACCUACCUAUAAGACUGGGAUAACUUCGGGAAACCGGAGCUAAUACCGGAUAAUAUAUUGAACCGCAUGGUUCAAUAGUGAAAGACGGUUUUGCUGUCACUUAUAGAUGGAUCCGCGCCGCAUUAGCUAGUCGGUAAGGUAACGGCUUACCAAGGCAACGAUGCGUAGCCGACCCGAGAGGGUGAUCGGCCACACUGGAACUGAGACACGGUCCAGACUCCUACGGGAGGCAGCAGUAGGGAAUCUUCCGCAAUGGGCGAAAGCCUGACGGAGCAACGCCGCGUGAGUGAUGAAGGUCUUCGGAUCGUAAAACUCUGUUAUUAGGGAAGAACAAAUGUGUAAGUAACUAUGCACGUCUUGACGGUACCUAAUCAGAAAGCCACGGCUAACUACGUG